UAGGGAAUUUUCGUCAAUGGGGGGAACCCUGAACGAGCAAUGCCGCGUGAGCGAAGAAGGUCUUCGGAUCGUAAAGCUCUGUUGUAAGAGAAAAACGGUCAUCAUAGGGAAUGAUGAUGAAGUGAUGGUAUCUUACCAGAAAGCCACGGCUAACUACGUGCCAGCAGCCGCGGUAAUACGUAGGUGGCGAGCGUUAUCCGGAAUCAUUGGGCGUAAAGGGUGCGUAGGUGGCACGAUAAGUCUGUAGUAAAAGGCAGCGGCUCAACCGCUGUUGGCUAUGGAAACUGUCGAGCUGGAGUGCAGAAGAGGGCGAUGGAAUUCCAUGUGUAGCGGUAAAAUGCGUAGAUAUAUGGAGGAACACCAGUGGCGAAGGCGGCCGCCUGGUCUGCAACUGACACUGAAGCACGAAAGCGUGGGGAGCAAAUA
rnacentral:rRNA from 1 species